rnacentral:lncRNA from 1 species
CUGCCAAGUAAUGAAAUUUCAAAGAAAAAAAAACCAACAAACUUUCGCUCUCUUGCUACCCUUUUUUUUAUAAGUGUAAGAAGAACUAGAAAUUAAUUUGUUGUAGCCUUCAGCAUAUCAUGUUUUCUAAAAGUUUGUUACCUGAGUGAUAUUAAGGUCAUCUUUCAUUGUAAUAUUAUACUUCCUGAAAAUUGUGAAUUAUGGGCCAUGAAUGUCAAAACUUUUAUUUUAGAUCAUUUGAAUUCUGUUGGACUGUUUACUCAUAUUUGUUAAUUAUGUCUUUUAGCUGCAUGCAUUGGGUCUGAACACUUUUCAUUGGCUUGUGAUGAUCAGAAGGUUGAUUGAAAUACCACAUCCUCCAGACAUAUUGUCAUUACACAGGCUGUCUUAUAGUUGGUCUCUUGUGGAGAGUUGUCUCAUCAUACCCCAUCUUUUUAUUUUUAUACGCCCAUUUAAGGGACGUAUUAUGGUAUACCUUGUCCAACAAUAACUCCAAAAUGCUUUAACCAAUUUGCAUUAAAACUUUGAUAAUUAUUUUUAAAAUGUUUUGACGUAAGCUCCAUUUCAAUCUAUAAAUUUUAAAUUUUGUGUU